GAAAAUGCUUAGCGUCAGUGUGCUAAUACCUGGUCAACGAGCAGUUCAGGAGCCCUGGCUCGGGCCUCCCUGCCCCCUCUCCCUUCCCCUCCCCCUCCUCCUCCCCUCGUGGAAGGAAGUCAUUUAGGUCUGAGUGCCUCAGCCUCCGGCACAAUGUGCCUAAAUGUUUGGGGAACAAGUGCGUUCAUACGGACCCCAAAGCAACACAACCCCAACUCGAGCCCGGGCUUUCGUGGCCGCGAGUCACAGGAUCAGUCCAUGAGGCCGGGAUUGGUGGCAAAGAGUAAACAACCAAACGGCUAUUUUGAGGUAAACCCACCACUUCGUUCCACAAAAGGAAUUUAUUUCCCUAAAGAUUUUCAGUAGCCGCGUGAGACACCAAGGAGAAUACUGCGCCCCCUCCAAGCCCUGGCGGAAGUCUUUUCCGGCUUAUUCAGGCUCGGAUCAGCUUGCGGGGAGACCUCCUUUAUGGGAUAGCAAACCACUGAAAACAAGACAAAUGCCCAUCAAGGUAGAUAGUCAUUCGGACUACACAAACUGUGGACCAUGAAUGUUAAGAAAUAUGACUGCACUAUUGGGCAAAAUAUAUGUGACAAAUACAGAGAAGCUUGGAAAGAUCCAUAUGAACAGAGGCAGAGUGAAGUACCACCACACAUCACAAAAAUCAAGAGUGAAUGUAACAAAAUUCUAAAGAUUCAGCAAGACUUGAAUGAAGAAAAAUGAGACGGCACCCUCAACCCACUCCUUUGUGAAAAGUCCACAGAUGAUGCACAUAUGUAUUUAUGGAUUGUAAUGAUUUUCUUUCUCAUUUUUAUUUUGGUCUUUAAAAAAUACUAUUUGUUAUACUAGACAGCUCUCCAGGAGAGAGAAAAGAGGGAUGCUGGGGAAAGUAUGAUGAUGUAAAAUAGAAGGCAUCAGUAAAAUUUUAUUUUUAGAAAAUGGA